rnacentral:rRNA from 1 species
UACGUAGGGUGCAAGCGUUGUCCGGAAUUAUUGGGCGUAAAGAGCUUGUAGGCGGUUUGUCGCGUCUGCCGUGAAAGUCCGGGGCUCAACUCCGGAUCUGCGGUGGGUACGGGCAGACUAGAGUGUGGUAGGGGAGACUGGAAUUCCUGGUGUAGCGGUGAAAUGCGCAGAUAUCAGGAGGAACACCGGUGGCGAAGGCGGGUCUCUGGGCAGUAACUGACGCUGGAGGAGCGAAAGCGUGGGGAGCGAACAGG